UGGGGAUUUCCUUCGCUUUCCCACUCGCGUUCGAAAUCUUUAAUCGUCUUUGGCCCUCUUCAGUUCUCUCCUUCCUUCUGAGAAGAGACUAGAGAUAGACAAGCAGAGAGAGAGAGGGAAAGGAGAGAAAGACUGAAAAGACUACCGAAGUUCAGAGACAGAGAGAUGAUGCUGGCGGCGAGUAUCAGAUCCCGAUAAUCCCUACGGGAAUUGAGGCUUAAUUAAGAAAAAUCUUAAGAAUUAAGAAUAAAGCAGCCUCUUCUAUUAAUUGUUUAUUCGGAUCUCUUCUGCUACGAGAAAAACUCCAAUCACCAAUGAGGCAAUGACGUUUCCCCCUCAACGUGUCCUUCUCCUCGAUUGAGGCUUCUCCUGGACACGCCUUACAAGCGAAGGGAACUCCUCCAUCAGCGCAAUAAUGUUUGGAGAGAGAGAGAAGGGGCGAUUCUGGUUUGCUCUUCUCCUUCCAAUUGGGUUUUGAAUUCUCUCUCUCUCCGUCUCUCCUUCAUUAACUGCCUUCUUAUUGCGUAUUAAUUUCUGUCUCGAAUUCUCGAUGUUUCGGUGCGCGUGUCGCUACUGCUUGUCCGUAUGAUAUCUGCCGUCUUUUGAUCACGGCCGUUAACGUUUCUCAGACGAAUUCACUUUAGUUCUGGGCGCGGCUAGUUUGUUAUGAAGUUCGGUGGUGAUUGCUUCGUUUCUGUUUCCCCAUCUUCCUUCGUCGUCAUUCCAUCGCUCUCAUGGAAUGCGUUUGAUCAACUUUUGGUUUUAGAUAUUUCAGGAUUUCUCGGUAUUAAUUCCUGCUUUAAGCAGCGCUUAGAGCAUAAUGUCGAGGAUGACAGACGAAAAUGAUCAAUGUUUCUUCCCUUUAACAAGCUUACAAAUUGGGGAUUUACAAUCUUAUCUUUCGCAUCUUAGUCUUUUCCUGGCCCCCGAAACUAAGAAAUUCUUUAUAUUGGUGGACAAUCGACCAUGGUCAACAUACCUGGAUUCACGAGCUGCACAUUUGUGGCAAUUCAUGGUUGUAAAGUCUAGGUUAUCCCCCUUUGCAAACACUAAAGCACGAAGGGAGAGAAAGAACCUCCGGAAUAGGUUUGAUUUGAAGGAUAGUUCCAUAUCCAACACUAGCAAGCCCGGUAAAUAUAAGAGAUGGUCCAUGCUGAUUGAUGUGACAAAAUUAUCUCAAAAGAAAGCCCUGUUGCCUGAGAAACUGAGGAAUUCCUUGCUCUUGGAUCGUCAGUUGAAUCAGAUCUUAUAUGGUUUCAUUGUAUUUGAAGUUGCAUGGGAAAGUGUCCGCGGUAUCAACUAUUUGAAUGAGCUUCAGACAGAUACAUGUAUGGCAAUAGAGGCUAAAUUCAUGAAAAGAUGGGAAUUUGAAAGUAUAGAACAAGCUUCAAGUUCAAUUCCUUCAUGGUUCUCAGGAACACACUUUGAACAGAUUCUAUUGCGGAAGUGCCUAGAUUCCAUUAGAGGAGAUGUAUUCUAUGACACCAGAGAAGAUUUCUCAUGGACUGAACCUGUUAGUGACAGUGAAAGCAUCUAUUCUGAUGAUGAUUGUCUUCCAGAAAAAUCUCCUUACAGCAUUGGUAACAAAUUUGGUGUAUACCCUGCAAGUGUUGAAAAUAAAAGUGCACUACACACACCACCUCCUGCCACUGGGCCAUACAAGAGAAGAAAAAUAAUAAAAUACAUUAAUUCCAGAGAUGAAAUGGAUACAUUUUCCAAGACUCACAGUGAAAUUGAUAACUCACAACAACAUUCAGAGAUUUCAAUUUCUACUAGUAGCAGUGACAGUGAAAAUACAGUUGAAGCUAGUGAGUACAGGGACGUUUUGAUUUUGUUUAGGUUCAAUGACCAUGACCUUCCAUUUAAAUUGAGGGAAAUAAUCAUGUCAGAUGUGCGGUUACUAACUUUACUAGAGUCUGGGCUUCCAUCUUGGGUUAUUUUUCUUCAAUCAUAUCCAGUAUUUUGCCACCUCUAUCGUCCAUGGAUGUGCCCCCUUGCAAGAGCUUUGUAUGUGCUGAUUUCAGUUAUAACUGUUCUCAUUGGGUUUUAUGAUUUAUACAAAAAUGUUCCACUCCUGAAAGCAACUGCAUCACGCUUGUGUGGGCCUCUUUUUGACUGGAUAGAAAGUUGGGAGAUGAUAUCAAGGAUCAGAUACUUGGGCACCAUGCUGUUUCUUCAUAAUUUUGAGAAGGCAGUUAAGUGGUUCUUAAUGGUCACACAUGCCAUCAGAUCAUUUCUUUCAGUUCUCACACAACCAAUAGGGCCAUUUCUGGAGUUUAUGGAUUUCCUCUUUCCCAUUUGGAAUAUAUGUCUUGAAGCAGUUGAGGGCUUCUGUUCUGUAAUUUGGAUUACAAUUGGUUCUUCAUGCAGCCUAGUAAUGAACCUUUUAGAGGUUUUAUUCUCACCAUUGUGGUUUAUUAUUUCUAUCAUCUGGAGAAUCGGAUCAUCAAUUAUAUACCCAAUAUUUUGGGCCCUUAAGGAAAUACUAUAUACUCCCAUCCGCCUGGUUAUUGCAUUAGCAAGUUCUAUAGCCUUUAUUUGCUCCUGCAUAUUUAAUUUGCUGGGAGAGCUGUGGUCAUCAAUAAGUAGUAUCUUCCAGAUUGCCACAGCUUCUGAGGCAGCAGUGAGCACCUCUGAGAUUUCCAUGUGGCGUGCACUGUGGAAUGACCUUUUCUCUCAGAUUUUCCGUGCUGUCCGGAGCAUCUUAAAUGGUUUCAUUGCCUUCUUCAUAGCCUGCAACAGGCAUCGACUAAGCAUCUACAACCAUAUCCAGGAGGUUUUGCAACAACUAUCUUGCCUAGCCCUCCGGUCACAGUCUAGUCGUUGCAGACAGAAAUGUGGAUCUCAAAUUCAUAUCGAAUGUCCUUGACUCCUUGCACAAUAAAGGUAAUGGUGAAAUACAUUUCCAGAUCAAUAUGGUUUGCUAUGGUGAUAUAGAGACAUUUCCAGAUCAAUAUGCUUUGCUAUUGCUUUAGCAAGAAGUACUGAAGACCUUAYUGCUGCUUUGUCUAUGCAAAUGCCUUCUGAUUGUCCCAUUAGAGAUGCUCAUCAACCACUUGUGUUAAAAUCAAGUAAUUUCUCUUGCUAAUUUGGGUUGCCAUUAUGGUUUAUAGAUGAAAAUGACUUGAAAAACUUAGCUUUUCAAGUAUGGUUUGCUAUGGUGAAAUACAUUUCCAGAUCAAUAUGGUUUGCUAUGGUGAUAUAGAGACAUUUCCAGAUCAAUAUGCUUUGCUAUUGCUUUAGCAAGAAGUACUGAAGACCUUAUUGCUGCUUUGUCUAUGCAAAUGCCUUCUGAUUGUCCCAUUAGAGAUGCUCAUCAACCACUUGUGUUAAAAUCAAGUAGAAGACAGGAGGAAUAUCCAUUCCAGACACCACCAUAAAGCUCAAGAGAAUGCACACAUGUUGAGACGACGAAAAAAGAUUG